rnacentral:tRNA from 1 species
GGCUCGUUGGUCUAUGAGUAUGAUUCUCGCUUCGGGUGCGAGAGGUCCUGGGUUCAAAUUCCGGUCGAGCCC